rnacentral:lncRNA from 1 species
AUGCUCACUCCAGGCUGGGCUUUUUUCCUUUGGCACGUGCACCCAUCCUCCAACUGGACUCCCAGCUUUGGGCAGGCAUUGUGGACCCCGUGUGCUGGAAGCGAGUACUUCUGCUCCUGUCAGGCAAGGUGGGUUGUGCUUCAUGGUAUACCUGAGACAUGCAGCCCCAUCUGUGAUAUUUUCUGGCAAAAAGCAUCCUCUUGGCAGCAGGGGGUGCCCAGGAAGCCCUGCAUUUGUUUCAGAGAUUCCCAAAGCUGCCAUGAGCUCCAGCAGUCUGAUGCCGCUGCAUUUGUCUCGGCGCUGAAGCACAGCCAUGGCCUGUCAGCUCUGGGUACCCCGUGGGCUGCGAGGGACAGCUGUCAUCCCCGUGUGGAGAGAGAGCCUGUGCUUCUGUCUUUCCUUUUGUUCAAAUGCAGAUGCCUUUUACCAUUUCAGAAGAAGGUGCCUCUCCUGUCUCACAGCUGUAGGGUUGGUUAGGCAGAAUUUACCCUGCGUAAAUCCAUGCUAACUGUUCCCAGGCACCUUCUUCUCCUUCAUGUGCCCAGAAAUGUGAUCGCUCCAUGGGAGGGUUCGCUGCAUGACUCACUCCUCACCAAAGUGCAGCUGAACUGCCUGCAGCUCCCCAGGUUGUCCUUGUGGCCUUUUUGGAAGAUGGAUGCAACAAUUGCCUUUCUGCAGUCAUUGGGACUUCACCCCAUCUCCACAAGCUUUCAAAGAUGAUGAUAGCGAGUGGCCUUGCAGGGACAGCACUCAGCUCUCACAGCAUCCUUGGCUGCAGCCCAUCCAACCUCGUUGACUUGUAUAGUUUGAGUUCUCACAAGUAAUCCCUCAUGACCCUCGUCCACUGGUGGCUGUUUUUCUCCUCUGGAGUUCUGGCUCAAGACACAGCCCAGGAGACCUUGCUUGUGGAAACGGAAGGUAACAAGGGGUUGAGUUGCUCAGACCUAUCUGCAUCUGCUGCGGCAAGAUUCCCUGUCCCAUUUAGCAGUGAGGCCACAUUUUCCUUUCUAUUCUUUCAUUCUUAUGAAAGCAGUAGGAGCUCAUCUUCAUGCCCUUGACAUGUCCUGCAAGUGUCAGUGCUAGGGGACUUUUUCUUCACUAACACCAAGCCUAUGACCCUGGACAAUAUUUCAAAAUGCCUCCUUUGCCUCUCCCUUCUUGCCUUUCUGUAUGCUGCCCUAUCACCCUGGAGCUAAGGUGCGAGGUCCCUGUUUAGCCAAGUUGGUCGACUGAGAUAUCUGC